rnacentral:misc_RNA from 1 species
GAUGAAGAACGCAGCGAAAUGCGAUAAGUAAUGUGAAUUGCAGAAUUCAGUGAAUCAUCGAAUCUUUGAACGCACAUUGCGCCCCCUGGUAUUCCGGGGGCAUGCCUGUCCGAGCGUCAUUACAACCCUCAAGCUCAGCUUGGUGUUGGGCCCCGCCGCCCCGGCGGGCCCUAAAGUCAGUGGCGGUGCCGUCCGGCUCCGAGCGUAGUAAUUCUUCUCGCUCUGGAGGUCCGGUCGUGUGCUCGCCAGCAACCCCCAAUAUUUUUCAGGUUGACAACGGAUCAGGUAGGGAUACCCGCUGAACUUAAGCAUAUCAAUAAGCGGAGGA